rnacentral:rRNA from 1 species
UACGGAGGGUGCGAGCGUUAAUCGGAAUUACUGGGCGUAAAGGGUGCGUAGGUGGUUUAUUAAGUUAGCUGUGAAAUUCCUGGGCUUAACCUGGGCAGGUCAGCUAAGACUGAUGGACUCGAGUAUGGGAGAGGGCAGUGGAAUUUCCGGUGUAGCGGUGAAAUGCGUAGGGAUCGGAAGGAACACCAGUGGCGAAGGCGGCUGCCUGGCCUAAUACUGACACUGAGGCACGAAAGCGUGGGGAGCAAACAGG